rnacentral:rRNA from 1 species
UACGUAGGGCGCGAGCGUUGUCCGGAAUUAUUGGGCGUAAAGAGCUCGUAGGCGGCUUGUCACGUCGGGUGUGAAAGACCGGGGCUUAACUCCGGUUCUGCAUUCGAUACGGGCUAGCUAGAGUGUGGUAGGGGAGAUCGGAAUUCCUGGUGUAGCGGUGAAAUGCGCAGAUAUCAGGAGGAACACCGGUGGCGAAGGCGGGUCUCUGGGCAUACUGACGCUGGAGGAGCGAAAGCGUGGGGAGCGAACAGGAUU